rnacentral:rRNA from 1 species
UACGAAGGGGGCUAGCGUUGCUCGGAAUCACUGGGCGUAAAGGGCGCGUAGGCGGAUCUUUAAGUCGGGGGUGAAAGCCCAGGGCUCAACCCUGGAAUUGCCUUCGAUACUGGAGAUCUUGAGACCGGAAGAGGUAAGUGGAACUGCGAGUGUAGAGGUGAAAUUCGUAGAUAUUCGGAAGAACACCAGUGGCGAAGGCGACUCACUGGACAUCUGUUGACGCUGAGGUGCGAAAGCGUGGGGAGCAAACAGG